rnacentral:lncRNA from 1 species
AAUGGAGCCAUCCCUGGGCUGGUGGUCCUGAGUUUUAUAAGAAAGCAGGCUGAGCAAACCAGGGGAAGCAAGGCAGUAAGCAGCACCCCUCCAUUGUCUCUGCAUCAGCUCCUGCCUCCAGGUUCCACUCCUGCUUGAGUGCCUGUCUUGACUUCCUCCAAUGAUGGACUAUGAUCUGGAAAUGUAGAUUGAGCUAUUGCUUUCAAGGGUCAUUGCACAGCUCUCUGGGGACAAGUGUCCUGCCCAACCCCUUCUUAGAGGUUCCAGCAUAAAUGUUCUGCUCCAGUUAUGAGGAGGAAGCGGCAGCCAACGUGUCAACAGGUCUGGAAAACCAGAGAGACAAAUAAAGGAAGACCUGAAGUCAGAUGGAGACGGGGAGUGAGAGUUAUGAAAUUUUCAAGCUCAUUUUUAUCAUCAACAAACCUUCCCAUAAACUCUGUCCCAGGUGGCUGGGCAAACACUUGAGCCUUGAAAUGAAAUCUUGGAGUUAUUCCGUCACUCACACAGACUAAAUCCAUCCUGAAUUGUGUAAUAAACUUUAGCCUUUGGCAUUUUAUGAUUUCAA